rnacentral:rRNA from 1 species
CGUACACUCCUGCGGGAGGCAGCAGUGGGGAAUUUUGGACAAUGGGCGAAAGCCUGAUCCAGCCAUGCCGCGUGCAGGAUGAAGGCCUUCGGGUUGUAAACUGCUUUUGUACGGAACGAAACGGCCUUUUCUAAUAAAGAGGGCUAAUGACGGUACCGUAAGAAUAAGCACCGGCUAACUACGUGCCAGCAGCCGCGGUAAUACGUAGGGUGCAAGCGUUAAUCGGAAUUACUGGGCGUAAAGCGUGCGCAGGCGGUUAUGUAAGACAGUUGUGAAAUCCCCGGGCUCAACCUGGGAACUGCAUCUGUGACUGCAUAGCUAGAGUACGGUAGAGGGGGAUGGAAUUCCGCGUGUAGCAGUGAAAUGCGUAGAUAUGCGGAGGAACACCGAUGGCGAAGGCAAUCCCCUGGACCUGUACUGACGCUCAUGCACGAAAGCGUGGGGAGCAAACAGGAUUAGAUACCCCGGUAGUCCCAUGAU